rnacentral:rRNA from 1 species
CCCGAAGUCUGUUGAUCUAGUUUGGUAUGUUUGAUGCUGUUUCAUUAACAUCUUUUUAUUCUAAACUUGAGGAGAAAUUUUAUCCGUAACAGAUGAUAUCUGGUUCCGUCAGUAUAAUUAAGCACAGCGACUGCUGGUAAUGGUCGGCACCCGGAUAAACUGGUGCCGAUUUGAAUUAUUUUAAGUAAGUUUAUUAAAGUAUGGCUCUUAAGCAGCCUAAUUUAGUUUUUCGUUAUAGAUAACAUAUUAAAAUUUAACUUAGAAUAUUUUUAACUGCGGUUUUAACCCUAAAAUGGUUAAAUAUUAAUCGAUGAAUUAGUACUAUAUGGCAGCUAAAAAAGCUGUUUUAAGUAAUUGUCGCUUAUGAACUCGGCAACACAACUCUCAACUGUUUAACAAAAACAUAGCUAUGUGAUAUAUGCAUAGUGUAGCCUGCCCAAUGGAUAUUCUGAAUGGCUGCAGUAUUUUGACUGUACUAAGGUAGCAUAAUAACUAGUCUCUUAAUUAGGGAAUGGAAUGAAAGGUUGUUUGGGGGUUGGCUGUAUCAGCGGCAGUUUGUGGAAAUUUAAUUGCUGGUGAAGAUGCCAGCGCGUUACUGCGUGACAAGAAGACCCUGUCAAGUUUGAUCUGGUUUAACAGCAAGUUAAUGCUGUAAACAAGAUUUGGUUGGGGUAACCGUGCCGGUUCGAUCGGCACAUCGACUAAGAAUUUUAAGAAUUUAAAAUUACUGCGGGGUUAACAGCGUUAUAGUUGUUUUUAGUUCUUAUUUAAACAACUGAUUGCGACCUCGAUGUUGAAUUGGGGGUGUGGCCAUGGCGCAAGAGUCAGGUUCAUUAGUCUGUUCGACUAUUAAAACCCCACAUGAUUUGAGUUCAGACCGCCGUGAGGCAGGUCGGCUUCUAUCUGCAGAAACUAUAGUUUUUACCUGGGUAGUACGAAAGGACCCUCAGGU